AUUGAUCCGUUAGAGACUUUCCUGGACGUCUUAAUAAGGGUAGCCGAGUAGAGCUAUACCUUCAAGACCUAAGCGAGUAUCGGUAUAGAACCGACCCUUAGGCAAAUCUACAUUAUAGGGAUUGAUCUUCUAGAGACUUUCCUUGACGUCUUAAUAAAGGUAGCCGAGUAGAGCUACACCUUCAAGACCUAAGCGAGAGUAUCGGUAUAGACCCGACCCUUAGGCAAAUCUACGUUAUAGGGAUUGAUCCGUUAGAGACUUUCCUUGAUUUCUUAAUAAGGGUAGCCGAGUAGAGCUACACCCUCAAGACCUAAGGGAGUAUCGGUAUAGACCCGACCCUUAGGCAAAUCUACGUUAUAGGGAUUGAUCCGUUAGAGACUUUCCUGGCCGUCUUAAUAAGGGUAGCCGAGUAGAGCUACACCUUCAAGACCUAAGCGAGUAUCGAUGUAGACCCGACUCUUGGAUGAAUAUACAUGGUAGGAAAAAUGCGUAGUAAAAGAGAGCAUGCGGUAGUGCAAAACAAUAACGAGAGGUACCAUAGUAAUUCGAAAGUAAAAUAGUACAACAUAGGUUGGCCCAAAAGUGACCUAAUGCAAUGGCCUAAACGGCCUUACAGGAAAGUGAAAUAGUACAACAUAGGUUGGCCCAAAAGUGACCUAAUGCAAUGGUCGGAACGACCUUACAGGAAAAUAAAAUAAUAUAAGUCCAAAUACAACACUAUAAACGUCAGCCUUCCCGAGACCUCCACAACGUCUCCGCUAGUCUGGAUGGAUCCCGUCAAGAUCUAGGCUCGGAAACUUCUCAUGAACNGACAACACCGACAACUCGACAUCAACGACAAUGCAACGACAACAACAUCAACUUGACAAAUGCAAUAUGCAUGUGGUACCAAUCAGGGCAUCAAGGCCCCAACUUUAAGAGCGAAUAAGGCUCACAUGGCAUCAAGUCCCCAACUUUAAGAGCGAAAAGGCUCACAGGGCAUCAAGCCCCCAACUUAUAGAGCAUAAGCUCUCAGGGCAUCGAGCCCCCAACGUAUAGAGCGAAAAAGGCUCACAGGGCAUCAAGCCCUCAACUUUAAUGAGUAUGCAUGGACUCGACAACCAUCAACUUUAACAACUUAGACAACUUCGACAACUUAGACAACUUCAACAACUUGUACGACUUCAACAACGACUUUGCAUCAUAAUAUCAUAAUUUAUCAAUGUAUACAUUCAUAUAGUAAUUCAUUAAUUAUGAACAACAUCAUAUAACAUCAUAUUUAUCAACAUAUACAUUCAUAUAAUAAUUCAUAAAUCAUGAACAACAUCAUAUAACAUCAUAUUCAUCACAACAUAGGUUAAAUACUCUUAAACACCUUAAUUGAACUCAUAGUACACAAGCUUUGAAGUUUGGAGACAAUCCAUAAGUUUUGGAUUGACUUAGAAAUAGUUAUGCAGAAUUUUCAUAAAAUUUCACUAAGACCUCCUUGGAGUAUUUUCAUCAUAACUCAAAAACCAAAAAUCAUUUUCAAGUCAAACCAAUGCCACUGGAAAGCUAACACAAUUAUCUACAACUUUCAUGUUUACACCAAAGGUCAAUUCAAAACAGAAACGUGUGACAAAGAUGCAAGAACAUGAAACAGGGCAUGCUGUCAGAGAGCAACUCGGGAAAAACCCAUUUUUCACCCCAAAACCGCAAUUUUAACUUCCCUGUGCUCAAAUUUGAUCCCAAAGUUUGACUAAACAUUUAUACACAUCAAAAGAGACUCAAAACCAUAUAAAACUUGACCCAAAACAUUAUUUUAGAAAAUCAUCAAAAAACAACAUCAUAUUUCACCAAUUUUGAGCAAAAACACAAGUAUACAUAUAUACAUAACUUAAGCAUAUAAAUUCAUCAUCAACAACUUAAUUAACAUCAAAAUCACAUAUCCAAACAUUGCAUCAAAACAUAAACACAAAUUUCACCAAUUAAAUCCACAAUAAUCACUUUAUACAAAUAGGCACUUAUGGGUAGAAGUAGAAAAAGAGAUUAUACAAAAGAUUAUGAGUGAAAUUUAACCCUAAUUUUUAUAACAUCAAAACUAACAACAACUACAAGGUUAAACCUUUUUUUAGAAUUAUACAACCCAUUAUUAAAGAAAGCUAGUCCCACCCUUACCUUAGAUUGAUCGACGAAGGACUCUACCGCUUUCUCUCCUCUGGCUCUUCUCUUCUCUUGUUUCCUCCCUUUUUCUCCAAACACAGGUAUCACGUAAUCCUUAUUUUCUAAUUCUAACUCUCCCCUUUUAUAUAAAUCUUUAACCUACUUAUUUUCUCUUAUUUCCAAAUCUGCCCUCCAAGUCUCAAUAAUCUAUUCUAAUAUAUAUAUAUAUAUAUGUGCUCGUGAUUUUCGGAUAUCAAACCAUUAAUUGAUUUGAAUCGUCAAUCUUUGAACUCUUAAUUUUUAUUCGUGGGAAGGGAAAAAAUGAGUAAAAACCCUUGUCGAGACUUUGGAUUCGGGGGUUGGUUACGCGAAGGGAAGGUNNNNNNNNNNNNNNNNNNNNNNNNNNNNNNNNNNNNNNNNNNNNNNNNNNNNNNNNNNNNNNNNNNNNNNNNNNNNNNNNNNNNNNNNNNNNNNNNNNNNNNNNNNNNNNNNNNNNNNNNNNNNNNNNNNNNNNNNNNNNNNNNNNNNNNNNNNNNNNNNNNNNNNNNNNNNNNNNNNNNNNNNNNUUUGCUACAACGAAGAGAUAAUGUAGCCUAUGAGGAACGGCUCAUAGUAACGAAUGUGAAACUCCGUUUGCUACAACGAAGAGAUAAUGUAGCGUAUGAGGUACGGCUCAUAGUAACAAUAAUGAAAUAGUUACCGUUCGCUAUAAUGAAGAGAUAAUAUGAUAUAUAGCAUAUAAUGAAAUGUAUAACUAAUGAUACUCAUAUUAACAUGAAAAUUAUGUUUAAUAUGAAUUAGCUACGAAGCCAUAUCUUAUGGGCAUUUUGCCAAUCAUUGGAAAUGAUGAAUUUUAGUUACGGAACUACGGAACUCCGGCUCAGUUAGCCGAAACUAGUUGUUACCAAAAAAAAAAAAAAAAAGAAUCAGAGACAUACCCAGAUAAGUAUGUCAAAGUAUAAGCUAUACUAGAAUACGAUAUAUUGGAUUUAUGUUUAUGAUUAUUAUUAUGAUUAUGGUGAUUAUGCUUAUGAUUGAAGUUAUGAGUAUGACUAUAUUUAUGAUAUAAUCAAAAUAGUAUUUCAGACAGCGAUUUUAGUUAUCCCCUGAUAGCUCAGUUAUGCAUAAUGAAAUCAUAUAAACCCGAAAUGGGUUGAGUUUAGUAACAGAUGGCGAUCUUAGAUUCCCCGAGAUUGCCUACAGCCUAGGAUAGGUGGAACUCACUAAGACAUUUUGUCUCACCCCAAUCCUUUUUAUUUAUUUCAGACGUACAAGUUAUUAUACAACAUGAUGGUUCGUGAUGAAGAAGCAGAAGUCGCUUGAAGUUUCGCGUCAGUAGUGUUAGUGUUACUUCAGAGGUAUAAGACGAGAAUUUUUGUAUCUUAUUCAGAGGAAAUUUUUAUUGUUGUAAUUUUAAUGUAUCCAUUGCCAAGUUUAACACUCAUGCUAGAUAUCCUAGGUAAUUUCUAGUAGGGGUGUUACAAUGUGUUAUUUUGCUGUUUUGAUUCAUAUUUUUGCUGGAACAUAUUUUACAUGGUCAAAACUUGGAGUUUCUAAAUGGUUUGAAACUUGUGUUUGUGUCGUUCGGUUUUUCGGAAAUUGUCGGAACUUGGAAUUUUGUGAACAAAAAGGAUUGCAAGCUUGGUCUCAUAUAGACUUAGACAAGGCUUGUAAGUUUAGUACAAUGUCUUAAACAUGUCAAACUUGAUUUUCGGGUGGGAUUGUGGAAAAUGUGAACUUGGGUUUUAUCAUACGAACUUAAGCUAUUCUUUGAACUAAUGUUUAAUGGUUUGUAAGUGGCUUAAGCUCAUAACUAUAUGAUUGAUUAAGAUUGUUUGGUGAGUUUUCAAACUUUAUAUUGUUACCUUACUUGAGAGUUAUCAAGGUUGGCCGUUUGCCACUUGAUAUGGUUUUAUCAGAAAUGAUUCUUUUAAGUCAAAUAUCUUAUGAUCUUUCGUGACUAACCUUGUAUGACUAAAUUGUGAUGUGUGAAUGAAUUGUUAUGUGUUGGAUAUGAUAUUUAUCAUGAGAUGUGUAUGUUAUCUUACUUAGAAUGUAAGAAAUGUUAUCUUACUUAGAAUGUAAGAUAUUUAUCAUGAGAUAUGAGAUAGUUAAUGUUGAAUGACAUUGUUGAUUAUUGAUGAUCAUGUUGAUGUGGUGAUGAUGAGUAUUAUGAUUUGAUUGUGUAUGGGCAUGUUUUCUUGAUAAUGCAAAUGUUGUGGAGAUGAUCAAUAUAUAUGGAAGUUGUCCUCUAUAUUGUGGUGAAAAUUGUGAAUUGAUGUCGCAUUAUCGAGUCUCUGUUACAUGUCCAUGCAUCAUAGUCGUGUUGAGAUUUGAUAUGAUGUUUUUGUUGAAUUAUUGGGCUCCGGCUUAGCAGAGAUCAUUUGGUGAUCUAGUUUUGUGGACUUCGGUCUUGCAGAGAUCCAUUAGUGAUCUAGUUUUGUGGACUUCGGUCUUGCAGAGAUCCAUUAGUGAUCUAGAUUGUGGGCUUCGGCCUUGCAGAGACCUUUGACGGUCUAGAUAUAGGUGACGACCUUGAGGUGAUUUGGUACCACAUGCAUAUAUGUGUCGGGCUAGGAACACAUCAUGCAUAAGUCUUAUUGGUGAAAUGUAAUUGAUGAUUGUGCAUGCAUAAGUGUGAUUUGAUGAUUGUUCAUGACACAUGUGAUUGGUGAAUAAUUGAGCUGAAUCUUUGAGAAUGAUGGUAUAUGUAUUUAUACGUGAAUAUUAUUAUUGAUCAAGUACAUGAUGGUUAAAUUGGAAUAUUCAUGUUAAUUGUUAUGUGGAUUAUGAUGAUGUAAUACUUACCCCUAGUGGUUUUGACCGCCUACCUGUCUGUAUGGAUGGGUAGAUGUUGUGCAGGAUUAGUUGCUUGGUGAGUUCUUGUGCUUGGUGGAUAUCGGGAGCUAUCUCCGGUAUCGGUGUUUAGAGAGUCUAGGUUGGCUCUGUAACACCCCAUUUUCCCAACUUGAAAUUUUUUGCAUAAUAAUCAGAGUAUUCAACUUAAACAGGAUGUCACACUUCUUUAAAAGAUAAAUAGAGUAAAAAUUUUAUUUACUUAAAACAUCUGCUUCCAAUAAUUUUCAAUAAACGUCGCAGUGGAAAAUAAUUAUUCUUUCAACAAAAUUGGCACUAAGGCCUCAACAUAAACAACGUCAUAAAAAAUUCAACAAAAAGGUUCAACAAUGAAAUCAUAAAAAAUACGUAACGAUGGAAAUAAAUAUCAAAGUUCCCAUCCCGUUACGUAUCAGAGCGACUCCUAAGACGACACAAGGAAUCAACACACAUCAGCGGUUACUCCUGGUUAUCUGCACGUUACCCACGUAGAGGCAACAUUCAAACAGAAGGGGUGAGAUUUCACAUUCAAUAAUAAUAAGCAUAUAAUUCUUNGUGACCUAAUGCAAUGGCCUAAACGGCCUUACAGGAAAGUGAAAUAGUACAACAUAGGUUGGCCCAAAAGUGACCUAAUGCAAUGGUCGGAACGACCUUACAGGAAAAUAAAAUAAUAUAAGUCCAAAUAC
rnacentral:lncRNA from 1 species